CUUCAUCGAGCCGAGGAACAGCGGUCUGCCCUCCGGCCUGUCCUGGCCGUACGUCUCCACGACGGCCUGGGCCUC
rnacentral:antisense_RNA from 1 species